rnacentral:rRNA from 1 species
UCAGGCCUAACACAUGCAAGUUGAACGGCAACACGGGUGUUUGCUCCUGGUGGCAAGUGGCGAACGGUUAAGUAAUAUAUCGGAACGUACUUUAUUGUGGGGGAUAAUGCAGCAAAAACUAUGUUAAUACCGCAUAAUCCUUAAGGGGGAAAGCGGGGGUCCCUAAGCCCUUGCGCAAUUAGAGCGGCCAAUACCUAAUUAGUUAGUUGGUGAGGUAAAGGUUCACCAAGGCAACAAUCAGUAGUUGUUUUGAGAGGACGAUCACCCCCACUGGGAUUGAGACACGCCCCAAAUUCUUACGGGAGGCACCAUUGGGAAAUUUUGGCCAAUGGGGCCAACCUUAAUCAAACAGUGCCGCUUGAGUAAAAAAGCCUUUCGGG